rnacentral:rRNA from 1 species
AGCGAACGCUGGCGGCAGGCCUAACACAUGCAAGUCGAGCGGCCGUAGCAAUACGGCAGCGGCAGACGGGAGAGUAACACGUGGGAACGCGCCCUUCGGUUCGGGAUAACUCAGGGAAACUUGGGCUAAUACCGGAUACGCCCUUACGGGGAAAGAUUUAUUGCCGAAGGAACGGCCCGCGUCCGAUUAGCUUGUUGGUGAGGUAACGGCUCACCAAGGCGACGAUCGGUAGCUGGUCUGAGAGGAUGACCAGCCUCACUGGGACUGAGACACGGCCCAGACUCCUACGGGAGGCAG